rnacentral:rRNA from 1 species
UGUCUUUUUGAAAAUAAUAUAAAGUCUAAUCUGCCCACUGAUUUAAUAUUAAAGGGCUGCAGUAUAUUGACUGUACAAAGGUAGCAUAAUCAUUAGUCAUUUAAUUGGUGACUUGUAUGAAGGAUUGGAUGAAAUAUAAACUGUCUCUUAAUUAUUGUGUUAGAAUUUAAUUUUUUAAUUAAAAAGUUAAAAUAUUUUAAAAAGACGAGAAGACCCUAUAGAGUUUUAUGAAUUAAAUUAAUUAAGAUUAUUUGUAAGAAUUAAAAUUAAAAUUAAUUUAUUUAUUUUGUUGGGGUGACAGAAAAAUAUAAUAAACUUUUUAUAUAUUUAAAACAUUAAUAAGUGAUUAAAUGAUCCAAUAUUAUUGAUUAUAAGAAAAAAUUACCUUAGGGAUAACAGCGUAAUUUUUUUUUUUAGUUCAUAUAAAAAAAAAAGUUUGCGACCUCGAUGUUGGAUUAAGAUAAAAUUUAAAUGCAGAAG